rnacentral:rRNA from 1 species
CAGUCGCCGCGGGAAUACGUAGGUGGCGAGCGUUGUCCGGAUUUAUUGGGCGUAAAGGGAGUGUAGGCGGUCUUUUAAGUCUGAUGUGAAAGCCCACGGCUCAACCGUGGAGGGUCAUUGGAAACUGGGAGACUUGAGUGCAGAAGAGGAGAGCGGAAUUCCAUGUGUAGCGGUGAAAUGCGUAGAUAUAUGGAGGAACACCAGUGGCGAAGGCGGCUCUCUGGUCUGUAACUGACACUGAGGCGCGAAAGCGUGGGGAGCAAACAGGAUUAGAUACCCGAGUAGUCCCUGUCUCUUAUAA